AUCAGAAGCUCAAGAUCAGCGUCUGCGAACAUUGUGUCAGUUCCGACAAGCUAGGUUUCGAAGGAAACAAUUAAUUAAUUUAAGAAGAGUCUCCACCUUCCCAAACAAUACUACAAAUAAUGUGUUACAGGGAUGCAAUAUUAGUUAAUGCACUUUGGAAUAAGGAAAAUUUUGUCAAGAA